CGUACACUGGGGAGGUGUCCUCGGAUGAGGAGCAAGAUAUGCCCCAGUCACUCUCCAUCCUGGAUGAGUGGCAGGCAGAAGCCUCAGAUUCUGACGAAGGUGGUUGGGGCUCCAACGCCUACGUCAAGAAGACAUUUCUGGGUGAGCCCCAGAUUAAAGGAGACGCGGAACCCCCCGCCACGACCACUCAGGAACAAGAGAUAUUCCUAGAUACCAUGGGUCAGAGAAUGUUUGACCCCAGGAACAU